rnacentral:rRNA from 1 species
GAUGAACGCUGGCGGCGUGCUUAACACAUGCAAGUCGAACGAAGCACUUUACUUGAUCUUUUCGGAGUGAUUGUUUUGUGACUGAGUGGCGGACGGGUGAGUAACGCGUGGGUAACCUGCCUCACACAGGGGGAUAACAGUUGGAAACGGCUGCUAAUACCGCAUAAGCGCACAGUACCGCAUGGUACGGUGUGAAAAACUCCGGUGGUGUGAGAUGGACCCGCGUCUGAUUAGCUAGUUGGCAGGGCAGCGGCCGACCAAGGCGACGAUCAGUAGCCGACCUGAGAGGGUGACCGGCCACAUUGGGACUGAGACACGGCCCAAACUCCUACGGGAGGCAGCAGUGGGGAAUAUUGCACAAUGGGGGAAACCCUGAUGCAGCGACGCCGCGUGAGCGAAGAAGUAUUUCGGUACGUAAAGCUCUAUCAGCAGGGAAGAAGAAAUGACGGUACCUGACUAAGAAGCACCGGCUAAAUACGUGCCAGCCGCCGCAGUAA